AAAAGCUUCGGGUCAAUACCCCGGAGUCCUGACGGUACCGGAAGAAUAAGCACCGGCUAACUACGUGCCAGCAGCCGCGGUAAUACGUAGGGUGCAAGCGUUAAUCGGAAUUACUGGGCGUAAAGCGUGCGCAGGCGGUGAUGUAAGACAGAUGUGAAAUCCCCGGGCUCAACCUGGGAACUGCAUUGGAUACUGGCAGGCUAGAGUGCGGUAGAGGGUAGUGGAAUUCCCGGUGUAGCAGUGAAAUGCGUAGAGAUCGGGAGGAACAUCUGUGGCGAAGGCGACUACCUGGACCAGCACUGACACUGAGGCACGAAAGCGUGGGGAGCAAACAGGAUUAGAUACCCUGGUAAUCCACGCCCUAAACGAUGUCAACUGGUUGUUGGUCCUUCCACUGGAUCAGUAACGAAGCUAACCG
rnacentral:rRNA from 1 species